rnacentral:rRNA from 1 species
UACGUAAGGUGCGAGCGUUAAUCGGAAUUACUGGGCGUAAAGCGUGCGUAGACGGUCAUGUAAGUCGGGUGUGAAAGCCCCGGGCUCAACCUGGGAAUUGCAUUCGAGACUGCAUGGCUAGGAUGCGGAAGAGGGAAGCGGAAUUUCCGGUGUAGCGGUGAAAUGCGUAGAUAUCGGAAGGAACACCAGUGGCGAAAGCGGCUUCCUGGUCCAGCAUCGACGUUCAGGCACGAAAGCGUGGGGAGCAAACAGG